AAGGGCUUUGUCUGGGAGAGCAAAAUGCCCAAUGAACGUCUAGUGAGGGCAUUGCUGCUAACACCCCCUACGUCAUGGUAACUGCGCAAGCGCGGUUUCGCCGUUACUUGCGCUCUCUGGCUGC